GUGCUCAUUGUGGCAGCACAUAUACUAAAGGUGAAACAAUAUAGAGAAGAUUACCAUAUCUCCUAUGCAAAAAUACACAAAUUUAUGAAGUGUUCCAUAUCAUA
ensembl:snRNA Gm22845 predicted gene, 22845